UCAAAGAAAUUUGGGGGUCUCCAGCAACCUUAUGUUUUUCUGGGCUGCUCUAACCAUUAAUCCUGUUUCAGGCACAUUAUAUUUAGGCUACAGUGUACACUAAUUUGGGACCCUCUUCACUGUUUAUAACAUAUAAUGUGUUCUGAGUUUCAGAGACUUUUUGGAAAGCCCAGUUACUGAGGUGAGCUGAGUAGUCUGGGGACUGAAUAAGAGAGGCGCCCAUUUCUCCCACCUAAUGAUGAGACUAGCAAGGCUCCUACAGACCCUGAGAGUGGGGCCUUCUCAGCCCACUGGAGAUGUCAAACUGGUGGCACCACGUGAGGUUAAGGAGCAGGAAGAAAGGGAAAGCAUUUGCUGAGUAGGAACCACCCAACCGUGCUUCAUUAGUUUGUUUGGCUGCAUUUGAAAAGCUGCAUUCUGCCUGGGUUACAGAAAGGAUAAACCUUGAUUCCUAUCCAUUUUGAAUAUUGGUUAGACUCAGCAGUGUUGUUGUUCACUGGGUGAACACUCAGAGUGAAGUGAGAAGUGAACACUCACUGGAAGUCAAGAGUAAGAUUUUUGGAAUUAGGGAACCCUGGGUGAAAGACCAGGCUCUGCCACUCUAUUAGCCUUGUGAUGGAAAAGCCUUCAUUUCCCCUUUUGUAAAAUGGAGGUAAGAGUGGUACUUAUCUCACAGGUUGUUCAAGUGAGAUACAGGUGUAAGUUGCUUUCAGCACAGUGCCUGGCAUGCAGGGAGUUUGUAAACCAUGACAGCUAUUAUUACAUCAUUUUUUUGGGUAAAGUUGCAAGGUCUUUGCUGAUAGGACUUCUGGGAGAGGGGAAGCCAGGAAAGGGAUGAUGAAGGACAAGAAAGAUAUCCCUGCCGGCCACCUGCCCAUGACUGUGGUUCAUGUGAUCAGUGACGUGAAGCUACUGCAAUGAAGUGAUGCUGAUUCUGCUGGUUUGGGUGUUCAAGAACUACUGCUUGCCAUAAAUAUAGGAGGCGGAUUCUUUACCAGCUGAGCCACCAGGGA